GACCAACCUCGCCCCAUGCUCCAGAAUAGCUCUUGGAAACGGGUGGUAAUGCUGGAUGCUCCAACUUGACGCAUGUCUUGUUGGGAAAGUGUUUAGUGGCAUGGGAUGGGGUCGCGUCCUAUCAGCUUGUAGGCGGGGUAAUGGCCCACCUAGGCUUCGACGGGUAGCCGGCCUGAGAGGGCGGACGGCCACAUUGGGACUGAGAUACGGCCCAGACUCCUACGGGAGGCAGCAGC
rnacentral:rRNA from 1 species